UACGUAGGGUGCGAGCGUUAAUCGGAAUUACUGGGCGUAAAGGGUGCGCAGGCGGUUAUAUAAGACAGAUGUGAAAUCCCCGGGCUCAACCUGGGAACUGCGUUUGUGACUGUAUGACUAGAGUACGGUAGAGAGGGGUGGAAUUCCUGGUGUAGCAGUGAAAUGCGUAGAUAUCAGGAGGAACACCAGUGGCGAAGGCGACUUCCUGGCCUGUUCUUGACGCUGAGGCGCGAAAAGCUAGGGGGAGCAAACGGG
rnacentral:rRNA from 1 species